rnacentral:rRNA from 1 species
UUUAGGAGGGGCGAAGCUCCUCUUAUUGUGAGGGCGAGUUAUAUAACACCAUAGGACUGGCCGUCCCAUAUGAAAAGAUUAUAUUAGAAUUGAAUGAAGCUUUGUUUAUAUAUUGAUAAUGACAGUAUAUAUAUCGUGUCUUGACUAAUUGCGUGCCAGCAGUCGCGGUAAUACGUAAGAGACUAGUGUUAUUCAUCUUAAUUAGGUUUAAAGGGUACCCAGACGGUCAAUAUAGCUUAUAAAAUGUUAGUACUUGACUAGAGUUUUAUGUAAGAGGGCAGUACUUGAGGAGGAGAGAUGAAAUUUCGUGAUACCAAAGGGACUCUGUAAAGGCGAAGGCAGCCCUCUAUGUAAAAACUGACGUUGAAGGACGAAGGCACAGAGAACAAACAGGAUUAGAUACCCAAGUAGUCUUUGCAGUAAAUGAUGAAUGCCAUAGGUUAGAUGGGUGGGCUCGUCUAGUUGAGUUAGUUUAGCAAACUAAUGAUCUAGACGAGCCCACCGUAUAUUUGGUCUAUAAAUGAAAGUGUAAGCAUUUCACCUCAAGAGUAAUGUGGCANCGC